rnacentral:lncRNA from 1 species
AAAGGAACGUUCUUAUCGUAACUGAUAAAUUCAUCCAUUUCGACCUCAGUCAUGCGACGAGAUGCGAGCUCAUAAAGGCCCUCUAUGUCUAACACGACUGCGACCCGACUCAAAUUAAUCAAUAACUGUGGAUCGGCGGCGUGGAGGAAUUUCUUGUCAAAGGCAUCAAGAUCGUCGUUGGCGUGGGCGUGGGCCUUGCAGUAAUCAAAGGCCUUCUCGAGGAGAUCCGAAGGGAUCCAACAGAGCAUCGGAUCCACGCGCAACUUCAAGACAACGUUUGGCCAGUCCUUAUGUUGUAUCCUUGCUCUCAUAAUCAUUGUAGGAGACUUUAGUAACUCAGAAGACUUUAUUAACUCACACUUUUUUGACAGCUCCGACGUGAAAGCAGUUGCCUCAUCCACCCUCCUUGCUCGCAUUAUAUCAGUCUUUAUUAACUCCGACAUGAACGCAGUUGCCUCAUCCACCUUCAACGUCUUGCCAUCGCCGCACUUGACCGAGAUCAUUACAUCGCUUGAGCGAUCCACCUCCAACGUCUCCGUUGCCUCAUCCACCUCCAGCAUCUUGCUGUCGCCGCACUUGAUCGACAUCAGAGGGAGAGACAAAGUAAUGCUUAAUUUAUGAGUUAUGAGAUCUCUCUACUCCUGCGUAGAGAGGCGGCGUUGUGAGAUCUCUCUCUAUAAAUACUACUCUGCGUACGUAUUAAGCG